rnacentral:RNase_P_RNA from 1 species
ACGUUCGGGUAAUCGCUGCAUAGAUUUAUAUGCAGAGGAAAGUCCAUGCUCGCACGUAGCUGAGAUGCUUGUAGUGUUCGUGCCUGACGAAUUCAUAAGUCAGGGCAGCCCGAGUUCUUUUACUCGGCUGACGGCUGGGAACGCACCUAAGUCCUAUUAGGAUAUGGUGUUAAUACCUAUAAAAGUGCCACAGUGACGUAGUCUUGUGAGAAAUCACUAGAGUGGAACGAGGUAAACCCCUCGAGCGAGAAACCCAAAUUUUGGUAGGGGCAUCUUCUGUUUCCGGAAAUGAACGGACAGAAGGACAGCUGUUUAAGCUGUAGAUAGAUGAUUACCGCCGGAGUACGAGGCGAGAGCCGCAUGUAGUACAAUGGUACAGAACAUGGCUUAUAGAA